GGACCUGCUGGGUGCUCUGCUCCAGCUCGAUCCUCCUGCACAUGAGGUCUGACUUCCCAAUGGCUUUUUUUAGCACAGUGUGAGCCUUGCCUGACAUUUCUCCUGAACUAAAUAAGUCCCCAACUCGAUUUACACUCACUCACCCUGCCAGCAAUGCCCAAGGGUGGCACUUCUGACAUUGCUUCAAGGAACGGGCACGGAUCCAGCCUCACCUUAUCCCAGGGGAUGAAUACACAGCAGGGGCUGCAGCUUUACCCCUGUUUGGAUUUUCAGAAAGCCACGAGGAAUCUGCCCUGCUUUGCCUCUCUGGGAUCUGGAUCUCAGCACUCGACUGUCCCUGUCCUCACCAGGGACAAGCUCUGCUCUGUCAUGGUUUGAGAGUGUGAAGUCAAACGUCACAGCAGCUCCUACCUGACAUGGGAACCAUAGCUACAGCUGAAGACCUUCAGUUCAGCAAGCUGUCAGCUAAGGAGAGCUGGGAAGGAGCUGUGCCAUCCCACAGGGUGGAUUUGUCUCCUGGGAGGAGCAGAGCAGGAGCCAGCAGCUCCUGGAGCCUUCUUCCCAUCUUGGAGAACGCUGUCCUUCACUCAGAUCCCACAAGGAUGGAAAUCCAGCUGAGUGUUGGAAAGGAUGACUUGAAGGAGAGCUGAAGUCUGGAAGAAGCUCUGGGCAGUGGCUGGAUCAGGGAUUUUGAAUUAGCCUCGUUAACAUGCAUUAAUUAGAUUUCUGCAGAGCCAGAGACAUCAGGCAUCGGGAAAACAAUAUCCUGCCUUUUGUCAGUGGCCUCACAGAUGCUCCAGAGGAAGGGGAGCUGUGCCCUUCCCAGGGCCAGCAGCUCCAGGAGGGACAUUCCAGAGGGAACACCAGCUGGGGAUGCUCAGACAGCCCCAAAAACAAGAAGUGCUGGAAGAUGCUGCCGUGGGAGAGGUGUAGGAAAGGGAUAAUAUUAAUAUUAAUAUUAAUAAUAACAAUAAUAGUAAUGUCCUGAGCAGCCCUGGGCUGGCAGGUGGCAGCAGGGACACGGUGUCACCACGGCCCCUGAGCAGUGACAGACACAGGGGCAGGUGCAAGUGAAGCCAGGCAGAACCUGCAGGCAGGAAAUGCCCAUUAUUUGCUGACAAGUUGGUUUUUCCUCUUACCAAAACCACUCUAAGAAUCCCAAGUCUUUUGUUCAGCUUCAGCCUGAGUGUCUGGGAGUGUCCUUGCUGAGGGAAAGGCCACCAGGGGGGACAGCAAAGGAUUUCCCCAUAGGGGUCACCAAAGACAGCUUGGAGGAGGAAAUGCUUUUUUUUCUAAACAAAAUAGUAAACUUGGGCAAAAGGAUGCUGAGAGUGGCACAGGGGCCUGCCUGAAUUCCCUGGGGCUUCCCAUUCCUUCAGGAAAUACUCACUUUGGAGUGGCAAGUUGGGAAUUCUGUCCCUUUAUAUAGAUUUGGCCAUUCCUACCCACUGCUCAUCCUGACGUGUUUGACUGGAGCACAACUGCCUUGACCAGGACCCAAACCCACCCUGGCAUGUUGGAUAAUCCCAUGGGACACAAAUCCCACCUGUCCCUGUGCUGCAGCUGCUGCAGAACCUUUUCCCCCAGUGUUCAGAGGAAGGGCUGCAGAGAUGGCCAGAAAGCUGCAGAAAUCUCUCCACACCUCCUGCUCUGUGUGUUUCUGCAGCCCAGAGCCUGCUGUGGUUUUGUGCAGCUGUGGCUAAACUGUCAUUAGCUCCCAGGCCACCGAGUUGUGACAGAAGGGUUUGUGUAUUAAACAACAAUUCUGAUUAUUUGAGCACCUCGUGGCCUUUCAUCCUGCCUGGGGUGAGCUCUGCUUCCCAGAUAGGACCAAGAAACAGCAAGGGCUAAGAUAUUUCUGAAUUAUUCUUCUAAUUUCUCAUGUAGGGCUUGGUCCCUUUGUCCCCAGCCCUUCGUGGCUCUGCUGGUUUUGGCUUUGGAGCUGCCUGUCCUGAUGGGAGCCCUCCCUGAGCACGGGCUCAGCCCCAUCCCUGCAGCCCAGGAGUGGGCCAGAACACAGCCCCCAGAACGUCCUCACGGAUUUUAGGGUCUUUCAACCUUCCUAAAGGCCACAGCAGCCCCAGAUCCCUCCCUCUGGAACAGCAGCAGGUUCUCAGUCUGUUCUCUGCUCCAGCUAGAGAGGGGAGCAGGGAUGGAUCCUGAGGGCUCUCCCUGUUUCUGUGCUUCCAUCCCCAAAUUUCCCUCCCUGGCCCCUUCCCCAGGCACAUCCUGGGCUUGGGGGAGCCCAGCUGGGGGGGAAAGGACCAGUCCUGGAUCCACAGGAACACAUUCCCAGCCUGGAAUCAGCAGUCAGGGAGGAAAGAGGCCUCAACUGUGCAGACAGGACAUUGGGAAAGGAAGGAGGAUUUUUAGGGGGCUGCUGGAAGGAAGGAAGUUUCUGUGGGAGUGACUCAGUGUCUUCUUGUGGAAAAGUCUGGAAGCUGUAGAGCUCCCCAGACCCCCAAUCUCCCCACAGGGAUGUUCAGCUGCUCUUCCACCUAAAUAUUUGCCAUCUCAAUGUCCCUGAGCAGCCUCCCCUGGGGCUCCCCACCUGCUCAUGGUUCCAUUUAAGCUCAGCCUGGAGCUUUCAUCCCUUUCCUUGCCUUGGUCAUGCUCAGCUCUGACCCUGCCUCAGCACAGACCUUCUCCAUGCAGGUAACUUCCCUCUGGGAUGAGCUCUUGGAUGCUCAUUUUAAUUUAAACAUUAAAUUAUUAACAUUAAUUAAGCACUUUAAUUUGUUGCCAGGCUGGGUUUUGACCCUGGCUCAUGGGGGAAGUUUUGGGGUCUUGUUGUAGGUUUGUCUCCAAUCCUGGCUCUGUUUCCUUUUGUUCUGGAAUUCCUGGCUGGGAUUGUUGAGGGGAUGAGCUGUCCCUCCUCCCAGGAGGGUUCCAGGGAGGGCUGAGGACGUUCCCUGUGCUGGGGUUAUCCUUGGAUCCCAGGUUCCUGCUCUUUAGGGAUCACCCUCAUCUUCCCUGGCAGCCUCCUGCUCAGCCCAAGGCUGCACCCAAAUUCCUGAGGGUGCCUCCAGAGCUGCUUCCUCCCAAAAAAAAGUUGUUGGAGCAAAUAAUGGAUUUGUAGGAGCCAAGGGCAGGGUUAGAGGGGGAAAUUUUAGGAUUUGGAGUGAAUGCAGGGCUUGGCAAGGUGUUGGUGCUUCCCACGUGCUCCUAGGGAAAAGGGAAAUAUCUUCAGAUUUCAGCUCCUCAAUUUCCCUUUCCAUGAGCUGCCAAAAUCCUGGCACACCUGGACUGAAAGUCAAAGCAGGGCCCCUUCUCCUUCAACCCAGGGCCUGUCCUGGCUUUAUUUUUCCUUUUCAAGCAUGAAAUCCCCAAUAAAGGGCUGGUGUGGCUUUCCCCUCUUCCCUGCCACCCAAUUCUUGCUUCCCUGGAGCUCAUCCCAAAUUCAGACAAUUGUAUUUCCAGGGUAAAUAAUUUCUCUGACAAUGAUUUUUUUUUUUAGCUUUUUGGGCUGACUUGCUGUUUUAAGUUUAUUUUUCAGCUCCAAGCUCUAAAUAGACUUUCCCUUUCUGAAAAUGUGCCUUCAGAGCAGGAAGGAACUUGACUUUGUGAAGAUUUAUGGCCCUUUUAACCUCAUUAUGGGACUAUUUGUAACAAUCAGCUUCAGUUCCACUUGAGAUAGUAAAAUUUCUGUAAGCCCUUAUUUGCCCCAGGCUGGAAGGUAUCAGCUACUGAAAAGCAAUGAAAUGGAGGAAUUUAUCCACAUAAAACAUUGCAAAUGUGCUGUUAAAAGCUGGAUCCUGUCUUGAGUUUUUAAUGCAGGAGGCUAAGGAUGUGGAGCUGGGAAUAAAAUGGAGGUGGAGAAGAAAUAAAAUAAAUUGUUAAUUGUUAAAAAUACCAAAACCAACAAAAUAAUCACCAAAAAAAACCCUACUUGAAGUAGUUUUAAAUUAAAUUUAAAUGUUUUCUAGCUGAAAUGAAAACCAGAUGAAAAGGUGUGGGGAAAGAGAAAUUGUUAUUGAGAAGAUUGGAGAGGAGGAAAAGAUGUUUUACUGAAACAAAAACCUGAUGAAAUUUUGGUACAAAGCACUUUCACCACUUUUGAUCUGACACUUUUCCAUCCAACCUGAAUUUAUUUUAGCAGUAAAUACAAACCUGGGGGUGUUUAAGGAAAGAUUUCCCUCAGCAAGUGCUUCAUUUUCCCCUUUCUCCUUCUUCUCUGCAGCUGCUGGUUUAUUUUUUUAAUUAAAAAUAGAUUCAGAGGGAUGCUGAUAAUGGGAUCCAUUCUAACCCAGGAGUGUCCAUGGCACAAUUCAUUUCCCAGAAUUUAUCUGGGACAUCCAAUGUCAUUAUCAAUGCUUUCAAUUUAGAAUUGAACAACUUUCCAAGUGCUGUGCAA